GAUAACACUUAAAAUUCAUGUCUAUAUUUUUAUGACAAUCUUCUUAAGGAGGUACAGUCUUACAUUCUUGACAAGAAUGGCAUCACAUUUCCUCCAAAUAUGAUUUGAGCAACAUUGAUCUUAGAAGCCCAGGACCAGCAUGACAAAUGAUUAGAAUCGCUAACGACCGGCCAUUGCAGUUCGACUAUUUUGUCCUAUUCUGUUUUUGGAGGUUUAGAAUGUUGCCUCUUUCAAAUCCACAUUUAAAUGUAAAUUGAGUUUGUAAUAAAAUUUAAAAGUCAGAGAGUAAAAACUUAUGCUUGUUUUUCACUCCAAAUGACUAGCUGGCGAGAAGCUUAAACAAGUCUGACAAAAUCGGAAAUGUCCAAACUACAGGAUCAUCACUGAACAGAAUGCAAGACAAAACCCAUUUUUUAAAUUAUUUAUAAUUCUUAAUUCAGUGUUUUUUUUAAUAGUCUGUAUGUCAUAUGUUGAAGUGCUGCUGCUUUACACCUUCUGUGGGUCGUUUCUGUCAGAACUUAUGUUUAAUUUUGUUUUUGAUUUCCUGUAUUUAUCAAACUGGUGGUUUGUUGUCUGUCUUAAAAGACCCCUUAUGUUGAUGUACGUUGUUUUUAUUAAUGUAGUUUGGGUCUGUUGAGUACAAUUUUUCCAAAUGGCAGCCCAGCUCAACUUUUGCAAUAAUUUCACUACUGUUGCAAUAUUUUUUAAUUUAAUUUAAUUAAUUUUUUUAAGCUUAAGUAGCCAUAGCCAAAUCAUUUGUUCAUAUUGUGAGGUUUAUGUUGUUGGUUCACACUAACAGUACAUUGGACGCCACUGGGUGUUUUAUCGGGUGUGUAUUUUUUUUUUUUUUUUUCAGUCUGUCCUAUGUAUUUUUAUCCAAAUCUGUGUUAUUAUGUACAUGCCAGUUUCAUCUAGUAGGUCAGUCUUGUCAAUGGUUGUCUCAGAAGUUUUCCAAUUGUGUUAGAUGUCUUUCAUCCAAACAAGUUCCAGUUUCAUCACAGAACAGUCUGUGGAGUGUUGAGACACUACAUUAUUCACAAAAAAAAGUUUCAAGAAAAAUGCAAGAAGGUUCAAGAGUUAGACUGAAGAACAAGAUUGUGGAUGAUAGUUUAAUUAUAAUCAAUUAAUUUAUUAAAUACUUUCCAAUAGAUGAGUAUUUUCAUUUUUCAUUUAAUUAAUUUUAAUUAAUAAGACAGUAUAAAUUUUAAAGUAAUUUACGAAUGAUCGGUCAAAAUAAAUUUACGGUAACAUUAUGCAAAUUUCUUGACAAGUAAUCAAAAUUGCACAAUAAACAAAUUAUGUUCUUCUAAAACGCUAUGAACCUAAGGAGGAUUCGGCCAAACUUUCAAAUUUAAGAUGCAAUAAUUACAAUCUAAAGUAUCAAGAAAAAUCACCAUCAAACUGCAUUACAUUAAUAAUAUUAGCCUAUACAAAGAUUUAUUUGGUUUAUUUCAAAUAUAGAGAAAAAAAGAUAAGUCAACACAACUCGUAACAUAUUCUGACCAGAGAAAAAUGCUUAUGAAACAUCGUAUGCUAUUUAUUCCAAAUAUCAAAGGAUCUUGAUAUUUUGCCUCUAUUUGGAAGUUUUUCUUAUCAUGAGAUACUUGUCAUUGUACCAGUGUCUUGUAUGACAAAGAUUCAUCGCCAAAUAAUGACAUGAAAAUUCUGAAACUUAUUGCAACGGUGCCAGAGAAACAGGAGCCAUCAGUCCAAUGUGUAGUUUAAUCACUCCCUUCUUUGAAACUGCAAAUAAAUCUUUAAAGUUCUAUGAUAGAUUGUCACAUGCGAUCUUCAAAAUGAAAUAAAGGUCUUUCAGGCCUUCAAGACAAUUAGCCAUGCUAUAGACAAUAUAUACCCAGGUUAUUUGAUAAUUUUUAGUGAUAAAUAAAUUGUUAGACAUCUUCAUGCUCUUAGUGAUUGACCCAACACUGAAUAUGGCCAAAAAAAAAAAAUACAAAUAUCUGACAGACCAAAACAGGAACGGAAGACUGACUAAAAUGACAA
rnacentral:lncRNA from 1 species